AUUGAACGCUGGCGGCAGGCCUAACACAUGCAAGUCGAGCGGUAGCACAGAGAGCUUGCUCUCGGGUGACGAGCGGCGGACGGGUGAGUAAUGUCUGGGAAACUGCCUGAUGGAGGGGGAUAACUACUGGAAACGGUAGCUAAUACCGCAUAACGUCGCAAGACCAAAGUGGGGGACCUUCGGGCCUCAUGCCAUCAGAUGUGCCCAGAUGGGAUUAGCUAGUAGGUGGGGUAACGGCUCACCUAGGCGACGAUCCCUAGCUGGUCUGAGAGGAUGACCAGCCACACUGGAACUGAGACACGGUCCAGACUCCUACGGGAGGCAGCAGUGGGGAAUAUUGCACAAUGGGCGCAAGCCUGAUGCAGCCAUACCGCGUGUGUGAGGAAGGCCUUCGGGUUGUAAAGCACUUUCAGCGGGGAGGAAGGCGGUGAGGUUAAUAACCUCAUCGAUUGACGUUACCCGCAGAAGAAGCACCGGCUAACUCCGUGCCAGCAGCCGCGGUAAUACGGAGGGUGCAAGCGUUAAUCGGAAUUACUGGGCGUAAAGCGCACGCAGGCGGUCUGUCAAGUCGGAUGUGAAAUCCCCGGGCUUAACCUGGGAACUGCAUUCGAAACUGGCAGGCUAGAGUCUUGUAGGGGGGGGUAGAAUUCCAGGUGUAGCGGUGAAAUGCGUAGAGAUCUGGAGGAAUACCGGUGGCGAAGGCGGCCCCCUGGACAAAGACUGACGCUCAGGUGCGAAAGCGUGGGGAGCAAACAGGAUUAGAUACCCUGGUAGUCCACGCCGUAAACGAUGUCGAUUUGGAGGUUGUGCCCUUGAGGCGUGGCUUCCGGAGCUAACGCGUUAAAUCGACCGCCUGGGGAGUACGGCCGCAAGGUUAAAACUCAAAUGAAUUGACGGGGGCCCGCACAAGCGGUGGAGCAUGUGGUUUAAUUCGAUGCAACGCGAAGAACCUUACCUGGUCUUGACAUCCACAGAACUUUCCAGAGAUGGAUUGGUGCCUUCGGGAACUGUGAGACAGGUGCUGCAUGGCUGUCGUCAGCUCGUGUUGUGAAAUGUUGGGUUAAGUCCCGCAACGAGCGCAACCCUUAUCCUUUGUUGCCAGCGGUCCGGCCGGGAACUCAAAGGAGACUGCCAGUGAUAAACUGGAGGAAGGUGGGGAUGACGUCAAGUCAUCAUGGCCCUUACGACCAGGGCUACACACGUGCUACAAUGGCAUAUACAAAGAGAAGCGACCUCGCGAGAGCAAGCGGACCUCAUAAAGUAUGUCGUAGUCCGGAUUGGAGUCUGCAACUCGACUCCAUGAAGUCGGAAUCGCUAGUAAUCGUAGAUCAGAAUGCUACGGUGAAUACGUUCCCGGGCCU
rnacentral:rRNA from 1 species